AGCAGCCGCGGUAAUUCCAGCUCCAAUAGCGUAUAUUAAAGUUGUUGCAGUUAAAAAGCUCGUAGUUGAGUUUCGGGGUUCUACCGUUGGUCGGGCAAUUGUCUGUACUGGCGUGUGGAAUUUCUACCUUCUGGGGAACCAUCAUGUUAUUUAUUUAGCGUGGUGGGAAACCAGGACCUUUACCUUGAAAAAAUUAGAGUGUUCAAAGCAGGCUUACGUCUGAAUACAUUAGCAUGGAAUAAUAAAAUAGGACGGUGGUCCUGUUUUGUUGGUUUCUGAAUCACCGUAAUGAUUAAUAGGGAUAGUUGGGGGCAUUAGUAUUCAAUUGUCAGAGGUGAAAUUCUUGGAUUUAUUGAAGACUAACUUCUGCGAAAGCAUUUGCCAAGGAUGUUUUCAUUAAUCAAGAACGAAAGUUAGGGGAUCGAAGACGAUCAGAUACCGUCGUAGUCUUAACCAUAAACUAUGCCGACUAGGGAUCGGACGAUGUUAAUUUUUCUUGACUCGUUCGGCGCCUUACGGG
rnacentral:rRNA from 1 species